GACGAACGCUGGCGGCGUGCUUAACACAUGCAAGUCGAACGGAAAGGCCCUGCUUGCAGGGUACUCGAGUGGCGAACGGGUGAGUAACACGUGGGUGAUCUGCCCUGCACUUCGGGAUAAGCCUGGGAAACUGGGUCUAAUACCGGAUAGGAGCCAUUUUUAGUGUGAUGGUUGGAAAGUUUUUUUCGGUGUAGGAUGAGCUCGCGGCCUAUCAGCUUGUUGGUGGGGUAAUGGCCUACCAAGGCGGCGACGGGUAGCCGGCCUGAGAGGGGGGACGGCCACAUUGGGACUGAGAUACGGCCCAGACUCCUACGGGAGGCAGCAGUGGGGAAUAUUGCACAAUGGGCGCAAGCCUGAUGCAGCGACGCCGCGUGGGGGAUGACGGCCUUCGGGUUGUAAACUCCUUUCGCUAGGGACGAAGCUUUUUGUGACGGUACCUAGAUAAGAAGCACCGGCUAACUACGUG
rnacentral:rRNA from 1 species